UGGACUAGCUGAAUUUGCUGCAGCUAGUGAGAGCUUGACAGUUGCCAGGCCACCUGAAGUUUCAGCGGCUGAUGGUGCAGGCUUACCUGUUGCUGGUCUCACAGCUCACCAGGCUCUCACCCAAGCUGCAGGGGUCAAGCUUGACGGAUCUGGCCAGCAAAAGAACAUAUUGAUUACUGCUGCCUCUGGUGGUGUGGGUCAGUAUGCAGUCCAACUAGCAAAGCUCGGAAACACUCAUGUUACAGCCACGUGCAGUGCUCGUAACAUCGAAUUUGUCAAGAGCUUGGGGGCAGAUGAGGUUCUCGACUACAAGACCCCAGAAGGAGCAGCUCUGAAUAGUCCAUCUGGUAGGAAAUAUGAUGCUGUGGUCCAUUGUGCUACGGGCAUUCCCUGGUCAACUUUCGAGCCUAAUUUGAGCGCCAACGGGAAGGUUAUAGACCUUACUCCUAGUCCAAGUGCCUUUGCUACUUUUGCUCUGAAGAAACUCACCUUCUCCAAGAAGCAGCUGGUGCCACUGUUCAUGAGUGCCAAGAGUGAGAACCUUGAUUAUCUUGUCAAGUUAGUGAAGGAAGGAAAGCUCAAGACUGUGAUCGACUCGAAGCAUCCUCUGAGCAAGGCUGAAGAUGGUUGGGCUAAGAGUAUUGAUGGACAUGCAACUGGGAAGAUAAUUGUGGAGCCUUAAGUAGACAAACGAAAACUAUAGUGGGAUAUAAACCUCACGUACUUGAUGGAAGUUGUUUGAUACAGAUAGUUAUGUCAUGUGUAAUAUAAAAUUAUAUAAUAAUGUGGGGUUUUAUAAUCCUGAAUCAAUAUUGUAAAUAUUGAGGUUUGGAUUAUAUAUUGUUCAUUUUCAUGUUGAUUAUAUUUCACAGUAAAUUCAUAUAGUUCUCUCAAAAACGAAUUUACUCGGUUAUCAAACCAGUAAUAUGGGUUUAGACUCUAGAGAGAGAUGACGAUGGUUGAUAUAAUCAAAUGAAAUAUAAAUAUAUAAAAAAUAGAAAGCCGAAGCAUCAUGAAUCAUGAACAAUUCUACUCUGUUUUACUAUAGACGUGGGCUAAUUACGCACUAGCAACAACGCAAGCUUACUUCAUAAAAUCUGAGACGAGUUUCAAGUUCUGUCGAUUCUUCUGAACAAAACUGAGGGAAGCCUAGGGUGGCAACAAAAAAAAAAAACUGAGGGAGGCUAUGGCGAAAAAUGUUAUGCAUGCAGGCUGUGGUGGUGGACGACCUUCUGGCUUAGAGGUUAUUCAAAUUACAUUUCUUCAAUUUCUAAAUAAAAGUUUCCCUCUGUCAAAUUAGUUUCCUUUUGUUUCUCUUGAAUUAUACUCUCUGUUUGUCCUUGAAGAAAAACCCUUUUACAUUACACGAUCAACUUGUCCACUAUAAACCCCAUGAAAAUUAAAUCACAUGGUGCCUAAUGGAUCUUUUUUCAAGUACUUGUUUGAGUAAAUCAAAAUUUGAAAUGUUGUGAAGGAAAAGAUAAAGGGAGUCUUUUCUGAGUUUUCUUCUUUCCUUUUGCUAAUGUUUUUAUGUUGGGAGAAGGGAUACGGGUUGAGAAAAACUUGCAUGUCACGUGAUAGCACAUAUUAAGCGUGGCAUAACGUGAUUGAUUGGGGAUAGCAAAACAGUGCUAUCCCCAUGACAUGCAAAUUCUUCUUUCUUCUCGUAAGGGUGUGGUGGAGGUUGUGGUUGAGAAUGACCAAGACUAGCUUUUGUACUUGGAAAGGAAACAUACAAUUUGUUUAUGCAUUGAAGAACAUAUUAUUGUUAAGUCAUUGGCCCUUAAUCAAUUUUGGUGCUAAUUGCAGCAUGUUGAAAUUCCAAUUCCAAAUUCAUACAAAGAUCAAGGGAGAGGUGUUGCUGAAAUUGGAGGUGGCUAGUCUAAAGUCAACCCCAUUUGAUUGGAAUGGAAAGUUUGAGAAAGGUAUGCCGUGGACUUUGUUGCCUCCCACCAAUUUUCACACGUACCUCAUGUGACAGCCACUCGCACUUUUGUGGAGCUCGUAGCCUUGACUUGGUCAAGACCUCAGAAGGAGCAAGCAGCUCUACAAGAGAAGAGUCCAUCUCCAUUUGGUCCAAAAUAUGAUGCUGUGAUGUGAUCCAUUAGGCAUUCCUCUGUCAACUUUUCAGCCUAAUUUGAGUGCCACUGGUAUGAUGCUGCUGUGAUUCUAAUGCGAACUCAUGAGUAGAACUUGCCUCUAAAAACCGAAUUGUAAAAGUUUGGUUCAACUCGGCAAUCAGAAUUUUCCAAAUUUUUUUUUUAAAGUUCGAUUCAAUUUUCGGCCAACACAUUGUGAAAAUCAAAACUUUUUGAAAGAAAGCACAACCUAUAGCACUUUUCAAAGAAAGCACAGCCUAUAUAUACGUCAAAACCAUUCCACAAGAAUGUAGUAACACGUCCUCUCUCUCUCUCUCUCUCUCUCUCUCGUAAAAUCUAGGAUCUUUCCUUUCUCGUCUGUCUCUGCUGACUCAGGGUAUGACAUUGGCAGCCAUGGCGACAAAGCUUAUGCGUGCGGUUCAGUACAACAGCUAUGGUGGAGGAGCUUCUGGUUUAAAGGUUCCUUCUUUAUCUACUUGUUUCUUCUAUCAAUGUUAUUUGGUAUAAUUCUCUCAUAUUUCAUUCCCUGCUGUGAUUUUUGCUUCUGACAUUUUGUUAACCGCUUAAUAUUCUCUGGUGCGUAAAAAAAAGAAAAAAAAAUGCAUCAACUUUUAGAGUGGUGGGAGAGUUCAGGCUUAAAACUGAGUGCAUCCUAAAUAUGUUUGGCCUUGAAAUCCCAAAGGGAAAAAAGAGAAACUGAACAACCAGUGAGAAAAUGCUUCAGGGUUGUGUUGAAUGUUUACUUGCUUGUGCCUCUUCUUUGCUUUUCAAAAGCAAUAAAUCCAUGGACGAAAUCAUACAAGUGUAAAAAGACCUUAAUAAAUUGUUUUAAAUAUAUUUUAUGUUUGGUGCAGCAUGUAGAGGUUCCAGUGCCCACUCCAAAGAAAGGUGAGAUCUUGCUGAAAUUGGAAGCAGCUACUAUGAACCCGGUUGAUUGGAGAAUUCAGAAAGGCAAGAUGCGGCCUUUUUUUCCACCCAAAUUCCCUCAUAUACCUGGUAAGUUCUGUUUUGCCUGGUUUUCCCCUAAACCCCUUCUUAUAUUCAUAUCAUUCAAUUGGUAGCAUAUAAGCUGCAACAUACUGAUCAACAAACUGCCUGAUUUUUAUUAAUUACUACAUCAUUGGAACAUAAAGCAUACGCUCUGUGUCCCAAAAGAAUUUUCCUCUUUGAGGAAGUGAUCAUAAUGGUUACAGAUUAAUACAUCUUGACUCUCGAUAAAAUCUCUCAUUGAGACUUUUAUUCAUUUGUGGAAGUAUUGAGAGAGUUGAGGUAGAUAAAUUAGUUGGAUUCCGAAACAAAUUUGUGCUUCGACUUUUAAAAUGGGUGAACAUCAUUCCUAUGUUACGAGAAGAGUUUUGUGAUUUAUACAAGCAGUGUUUGUGAGUCUUAGGCUGGUAGGUUGGUUUGUUAACAGUGAUUGGCUAAUGAAAAUAUUGGGAACAGCUACUGAUGUUGCUGGAGAGGUUGUAGAAGUUGGAAAAGGGGUCCAAAAGUUCAAACCGGGCGACAAAGUUGUGGCAUAUCUCACCCUCGCUGUAAGCCUUCAUUGUAUUCCUUUGGUUAAUCUCUCCCUUUCUUGAAGAAUUUAUUGCACUUGGCAACAAGUUUCACUUAUAAAUUUCGUUUGUUUGUUAGAAUGGAGGUGGACUGGCUGAGUUUGUCACAGCUAGUGAGAGCUUGACAGUUGCCAGGCCACCUGAAGUUUCAGCAGCUCAAGGUGCAGGCUUACCUAUUGCUGGUCUCACAGCUCUCCAGGCUCUCACCCAAGCUGCAGGGCUUAAUCUCGACGGAAGUGGCCAGAAAAAGAACAUCUUGAUUACUGCUGCCUCUGGUGGUGUGGGUCAGUAUGCAGUCCAACUAGCAAAGCUCGGAAACACUCAUGUUACAGCCACAUGCGGUGCUCGUAACAUCGAAUUUAUCAAGAGCUUGGGGGCAGAUGAGGUUCUUGACUACAAGACCCCAGAAGGAGCAGCUCUGAUUAGCCCAUCUGGUAGGAAAUAUGACAUCGCUGUCCAUUGUGCAAUAACGGGCAUUCCCUGGUCAACUUUCAAGCCUAAUUUGAGCGCCAACGGGAAGGUUAUAAACAUUACUCCUGGUCCAAGUACCUGGGCUGCUAUUGCUCAGAACACACUCAC
rnacentral:lncRNA from 1 species